UUGAAAAUGUUAUCUAUAGGGAUACUUCUGGCCAAGAUACUUCUUUAAAACUCACAAAGUCCUGCGUUGAAAAAAGAAUUUUUUUCUCCCAGAAGAUUCCUCUUCAUGGUUUCAGGGCUUCAGAAAUGUAGAGGGAAUUUACAUGAUUUGAAAGGUAUUCUGUUUCUACUGAUGAGAGAGCCAACACUGCUAAUGACACAGAAGAAAACAAGCUAUGGCUCAUCAUGGCCCAGUAAUUCUACCAUUGGAAAGACUUGCAACCAUUGUCUUUGACAAGAUUACAUUUGACAAGAUUACAUAGGACUCUUCAAGUCCUAACCAUCACUCACUGACUCCCUACCUGCAUCAAGAUUAUGAAUGACUGGAUGCCAAGGAUUCCAAUUCAAACUUAGAACUUUCUCAUUCAUUGACAUCCCUGCUGCAAUCAGCCACAGUGAGACUCCCAUCAAGAUCUUGGAAGAAAUUAUCACUAAGUGUUGAUUCAAAAUCUGAUCAACUAAUGAUCUGAUCAACAUAGAAGCAGAAAUUACCUUAGUGAAAAGGUGAAAAACCAGGGCAAUUGAUAUGCUAAGGUAUUGUACUCCAGUUUUCUAUGAAUAGUUAAUAUCAGUUUAACCAACUAAAUUUAGUAUGAUGAGUCUUAGGGACUCCAAAGUCUAAAAAUGUCAGUAUCUCCAAGAUUGCCUAGAGCAAAGGGCCCCUUCAACUCAAGAAUUGACAUCUCUGAGGCUGGGUUAUACCUUCCAACACCAGGUUUGCAUAGCUGAGUGACAUUAGCUAUGAAGAUAAUUUGAUUCACUCUUCUGGCUCAGUUGUCAUAUUGUUAAUCAGCCUUAUAAUAAAUUUAUAUUUCCACAUAAAUUUUUACACAAAGACAAUGGAUAGCGCAGUUGAC